rnacentral:rRNA from 1 species
UACGUAGGGUCCGAGCGUUGUCCGGAAUUAUUGGGCGUAAAGGGCUCGUAGGCGGUUUGUCGCGUCGGGAGUGAAAACACGGGGCUUAACCCCGUGCCUGCUUCCGAUACGGGCAGACUAGAGGUAUGCAGGGGAGAACGGAAUUCCUGGUGUAGCGGUGAAAUGCGUAGAUAUCGGGAGGAACACCAGUGGCGAAGGCGACUUCCUGGCCUGUUCUUGACGCUGAGGCGCGAAAGCGUGGGGAGCAAACGGG